CUUUUGGCUCCAGAAUGAACGCUGGCGGCAGGCCUAACACAUGCAAGUCGAACGGUAACAGGAAGAAGCUUGCUUCUUUGCUGACGAGUGGCGGACGGGUGAGUAAUGUCUGGGAAACUGCCUGAUGGAGGGGGAUAACUACUGGAAACGGUAGCUAAUACCGCAUAACGUCGCAAGACCAAAGAGGGGGACCUUCGGGCCUCUUGCCAUCGGAUGUGCCCAGAUGGGAUUAGCUAGUAGGUGGGGUAACGGCUCACCUAGGCGACGAUCCCUAGCUGGUCUGAGAGGAUGACCAGCCACACUGGAACUGAGACACGGUCCAGACUCCUACGGGAGGCAGCAGUGGGGAAUAUUGCACAAUGGGCGCAAGCCUGAUGCAGCCAUGCCGCGUGUAUGAAGAAGGCCUUCGGGUUGUAAAGUACUUUCAGCGGGGAGGAAGGGAGUAAAGUUAAUACCUUUGCUCAUUGACGUUACCCGCAGAAGAAGCACCGGCUAACUCCGUGCCAGCAGCCGCGGUAAUACGGAGGGUGCAAGCGUUAAUCGGAAUUAUUGGGCGUAAAGCGCACGCAGGCGGUUUGUUAAGUCAGAUGUGAAAUCCCCGGGCUCAACCUGGGAACUGCAUCUGAUACUGGCAAGCUUGAGUCUCGUAGAGGGGGGUAGAAUUCCAGGUGUAGCGGUGAAAUGCGUAGAGAUCUGGAGGAAUACCGGUGGCGAAGGCGGCCCCCUGCACGAAGACUGACGCUCAGGUGCGAAAGCGUGGGGAGCAAACAGGUAUUAGAUACCCUGGUAGUCCACGCCGUAAACGAUGUCGACUUGGAGGUUGUGCCCUUGAGGCGUGGCUUCCGGAGCUAACGCGUUAAGUCGACCGCCUGGGGAGUACCGCCGCAAGGUUAAAACUCAAAUGAAUUGACGGGGGCCCGCACAAGCGGUGGAGCAUGUGGUUUAAUUCGAUGCAACGCGAAGAACCUUACCUGGUCUUGACAUCCACGGAAGUUUUCAGAGAUGAGAAUGUGCCUUCGGGAACCGUGAGACAGGUGCUGCAUGGCUGUCGUCAGCUCGUGUUGUGAAAUGUUGGGUUAAGUCCCGCAACGAGCGCAACCCUUAUCCUUUGUUGCCAGCGGUCCGGCCGGGAACUCAAAGGAGACUGCCAGUGAUAAACUGGAGGAAGGUGGGGAUGACGUCAAGUCAUCAUGGCCCUUACGACCAGGGCUACACACGUGCUACAAUGGCGCAUACAAAGAGAAGCGACCUCGCGAGAGCAAGCGGACCUCAUAAAGUGCGUCGUAGUCCGGAUUGGAGUCUGCAACUCGACUCCAUGAAGUCGGAAUCGCUAGUAAUCGUGGAUCAGAAUGCCACGGUGAAUACGUUCCCGGGCCUUGUACACACCGCCCGUCACACCAUGGGAGUGGGUUGCAAAAGAAGUAGGUAGCUUAACCUUCGGGAGGGCGCUUACCACUUUGUGAUUCAUGACUGGGGUGAAGCGUAACAGGGGGAAACCCGAAAAUCU
rnacentral:rRNA from 1 species